rnacentral:rRNA from 1 species
GCUUACGGCCAUACUGUUCCGACGGUGCCCGAUCUUGUCUGAUCUCAGAAGCUAAGCGGGGCCGGGCUUGGGUACCAACUUGGUUGGGAGACUGGCUAGGAAUACCAAGUGCUGUAAGCU